rnacentral:misc_RNA from 1 species
GAAAUGCGAUAAGUAAUGUGAAUUGCAGAACUCAGUGAAUCAUCGAAUCUUUGAACGCACAUUGCGCCCGCCAGUAUUCUGGCGGGCAUGCCUGUUCGAGCGUCAUUUCAACCAUCAAGCCCCGGGCUUGUGUUGGGGACCUGCGGCUGCCGCAGGCCCUGAAAACCAGUGGCGGGCUCGCUGUCACACCGAGCGUAGUAGAUUCUCAUCUCGCUCAGGGCGUGCUGCGGGUUCCGGCCGUAAAACAGCCUUAUUUUACCCAAGGUUGACCUCGGAUCAGGUAGGAAGACCCGCUGAACUUAAGC